AUGACCAUAGCCCUUUGUCUAUACCACAACUCCCUCUACCAGUUCAUCACCGAUCUACAACCUCCAGCCUGCUACAGAUUCUUCCCCUAUGUUUUCUGCUUUCUUCUGCAAAUCAGCAGCAGUCAUCUAUCAAAAUAUGCAGUAGUCAACACAGGAUAUAAAGCACAUGCUAUCUCAGAUGCUGCAAUAACUUACAACCACCUUCACUGA